rnacentral:tRNA from 1 species
UAGGGGUUAGUUCAAUUGGUAGAAUACUGCACGGCUAGGAGAUUGUGGUUCGAGUCCGCAACCCCGUGA